rnacentral:rRNA from 1 species
GACGAACCGUGCGAACGUUGUUCGGAUUCACUGGCUUAAAGGGCGCGUAGGCGGGCUGCCAAGUCCGGGGUGAAAGCCCCCAGCUUAACUGGGGAAGUGGCCUUGGAUACUGGUGGUCUUGAGGAGGGUAGGGCGUCUGGAACGGUCGGUGGAGCGGUGAAAUGCGUUGAUAUCGACCGGAACUCCGGUGGCGAAGGCGAGUCCCUGGACAAAACCUGACACUGAGGCACGAAAGCUAGGGGAGCAAACAGG